rnacentral:lncRNA from 1 species
AAACAUGUAGCAAUUAGCAAGUACUCCGUAGAAGAUACUACUCAUAUCUGAAAGCAUAUAUUGCCAUGGAGAGAAGCAAGAUGAUUAUGCUCGUGAUGAUCAUUCUUCCAUGUCUCAUAACAUUUUCUCAGGGUGAGUACACAACAACAAUUAGGUGAACUUCUCGUAAAGAUAUUUGUUAGUUCUAUAUAUUACUUUUGGCGAUCUAGUUAAGAAACAUUACUAAUUUUUGUGAAUUUGUGCAUAAUUUUACAAAUUACCUAGUUUAAUGUGGACACUUAUUUGCAUGCAGCUCAAAGAUCUGAUGAUAUGAAUAGCAGCAAGAUCCAAAUUUGCUUGUGCCAAAAGAAUCCUCCACCAUGCCCAAAUGGUUUGUGCUUCUGUUGUGCAUUGGAGCAAGAUAAAUGCUUUAGAACCAGCCAAGAAUGCAUUUGUGGUUCUGCUUGCCCUCCUUUAGAAGCAACCUCCCCUCAUCCCCUCCCUUUGCCUUAAGACACCAUGUCAGCUGAUUGUUGCCAUGAACAUCUUGGAAUAAAAAAAGUUGUAAUCGCUGCAUGCUCAUCUUUAUGUUCUUCUGAAUUGAAUUUUUUAUAGUUAUAUUAUGUUUUACAAACGAAUACUGAACUAUACAGGCAAUUACAUAUAAUGCCUUGAUUGACACAAGAAAAUAC